CGAGCCGGCCGGGCGGUCGCGUCGGGUUCACACGUGAACCCGCCGAGGAAGGUCCGGGCUCCACAGGGCAGGGUGGUCGGUAACCCCGACCCGGGGCGACCCGCGGGACAGUGCCACAGAGAGCAGACCGCCUUCCCCCUCACCGGGGGAAGGUAAGGGUGAAAGGGUGGUGUAAGAGACCACCAGCGCCCACGGCGACGUGAGCGGCUAGGUAAACCCCACCCGGAGCAAGGUCAAGAAGGGCCGCUCCUCACGGAGCGACCCGCGUGCGACGUUCGAGGGCUGCCCGCCCGAGCCGCACGGGUAGAUCGCACGAGGCCGCCGGCAACGGCGGCCCCAGAUGGAUGACCGCCCCUUCGCACCCGCGAAGGACAGAACCCGGCCUACAGGCCGACUCGUCCG
rnacentral:RNase_P_RNA from 1 species